GCUAUGAAUGGGCAGAGAAAGGUUGUUCUCUCAAAGGCACCGUCACCGCCGUGAAAUGAGGAGUGCCAUCCACUCCGCUGCACGUCCGCCGUGCUGAGAAGACGAGGAAGAGGAGGCGGAAGCAGGAGUUGUCCAGCAGGAGCUUUUAAGGAACAAAGUGAGCCGACCUUCAGCUCAGAGUCUCAGCUGAGGAAGAAAAAUCAAGUCAGCCAUGGAGCGAAAGCCAAACGAGUGUCCCACCACUUCUCCACAGAAGCACAUGAAGAGCAGAUCUAAAUCCACUGAGGAGGUGCAGCAGUCAAAAAAGGCCUUUUCCUCCCAAAAGUCCCUGCCAGGCAGGCCCGAGCUGGAAAGAGUGAAGGUAAACCUAGCAUUUAUUUAAAAUAAUUGUAUAUAAUUUCCUCUGAGUUGGCUCUGUUUCUCUACUUUAAUCGUUAAAUCUGAAUUAAAAAGACAUAAAUGCUCUAUCUCUGUGCUGCAGGAGUGUCCAGACGGCUCUGAUACGCCCUCGUCUUCCACAGAAGAACUGAAGUGAUUAAAAAAAAAAAAAAACUAAUAGAAAAAUGUACAUAUAUCCACAGGA